rnacentral:rRNA from 1 species
CAAUAAGCGGAGGAAAAGAAACUAACAAGGAUUCCCCUAGUAACUGCGAGUGAAGCGGGAUGAGCUCAAAUUUAAAAUCUGGCGUCUUCGGCGUCCGAGUUGUAAUUUAGAGAAGCGUUUUCCGCGUCGGACCGUGUACAAGUCUCCUGGAACGGAGCGUCAUAGAGGGUGAGAAUCCCGUCUUUGACACGGACCCCCGAUGCUAUGUGAUACGCUCUCGAAGAGUCGAGUUGUUUGGGAAUGCAGCUCAAAAUGGGUGGUGAACUCCAUCUAAAGCUAAAUAUUGGCGAGAGACCGAUAGCGAACAAGUACCGUGAGGGAAAGAUGAAAAGCACUUUGGAAAGAGAGUGAAACAGUACGUGAAAUUGUUGAAAGGGAAACGCUUGAAGUCAGUCGCGUCCGCCGGGAUUCAGCCGCAAGGUGUACUUUCCGGUGGACGGGCCAGCAUCACUUUCGAUCAUCGGAAAAGGGCGUGAGGAAUGUGGCACCUUCGGGUGUGUUAUAGCCUCUCGUCGUAUACGGUGACCGGGAGUGAGGACCGCCUUUGUAGGAUGCUGGCGUAAUGGCUUUAAACGACCCGUCUUGAAACACGGACCAAGGAGUCUAACAUGCCCGCGAGUGUUCGGGUGGAAAACCCGUGCGCGUAAUGAAAGUGAAAGUUGGGAAGGCUGUCGUGGCCUGCACCGACGCCCGGACUUGAGAUUUAUCGAAGGUUCUGCGGUAGAGCGUGUAUGUUGGGACCCGAAAGAUGGUGAACUAUGCCUGAAUAGGGUGAAGCCAGAGGAAACUCUGGUGGAGGCUCGUAGCGAUUCUGACGUGCAAAUCGAUCGUCGAAUUUGGGUAUAGGG